rnacentral:rRNA from 1 species
UGAGGAAUAUUGGACAAUGGGCGCAAGCCUGAUCCAACCAUGCCGCGUGCAGGAAGAAUGCCCUAUGGGUUGUAAACUGCUUUUAUUUAGGAAGAAUCCCCAGUACGUGUACUGGGUUGACGGUACUAAACGAAUAAGGACCGGCUAACUCCGUGCCAGCAGCCGCGGUAAUACGGAGGGUCCAAGCGUUAUCCGGAAUCAUUGGGUUUAAAGGGUCCGCAGGCGGGCUAUUAAGUCAGUGGUGAAAUCUCUUGGCUUAACCAAGAAAUUGCCAUUGAAACUACUAGUCUUGAAUUCGGUCGAAGUGGGCGGAAUGUGUCAUGUAGCGGUGAAAUGCAUAGAUAUGACACAGAACACCGAUAGCGAAGGCAGCUCACUAGGCCUGAAUUGACGCUCAGGGACGAAAGCGUGGGGAGCGAACAGGAUUAGAUACCCUGGUAGUCCACGCCGUAAACGAUCAUUACUCGAUAUCAGCGAUAUACAGUUGGUGUCUAAGCGAAAGUGAUAAGUAAUGCACCUGGGGAGUACGAUCGCAAGGUUG